rnacentral:rRNA from 2 species
AGUGGGGAAUUUUGGACAAUGGGGGCAACCCUGAUCCAGCAAUGCCGCGUGUGUGAAGAAGGCCUUCGGGUUGUAAAGCACUUUUGUCCGGAAAGAAAUCCUCUGGGUUAAUACCUCGGGGGGAUGACGGUACCGGAAGAAUAAGCACCGGCUAACUACGUGCCAGCAGCCGCGGUAAUACGUAGGGUGCGAGCGUUAAUCGGAAUUACUGGGCGUAAAGCGUGCGCAGGCGGUUUGCUAAGACCGAUGUGAAAUCCCCGGGCUUAACCUGGGAACUGCAUUGGUGACUGGCAGGCUAGAGUGUGGCAGAGGGGGGUAGAAUUCCACGUGUAGCAGUGAAAUGCGUAGAGAUGUGGAGGAAUACCGAUGGCGAAGGCAGCCCCCUGGGCUAACACUGACGCUCAUGCACGAAAGCGUGGGGAGCAAACAGGAUUAGAUACCCUGGUAGUCCACGCCCUAAACGAUGUCAACUAGUUGUUGGGGAUUCAUUUCCUUAGUAACGUAGCUAACGCGUGAAGUUGACCGCCUGGGGAGUACGGUCGCAAGAUUAAAACUCAAAG